GAGAUAGAGCUUCCCCUUCGGGGGCAAAGUGACAGGUGGUGCAUGGUUGUCGUCAGCUCGUGUCGUGAGAUGUUGGGUUAAGUCCCGCAACGAGCGCAACCCUUAUUGUUAGUUGCCAUCAUUUAGUUGGGCACUCUAGCAAGACUGCCGGUGACAAACCGGAGGAAGGUGGGGAUGACGUCAAAUCAUCAUGCCCCUUAUGACCUGGGCUACACACGUGCUACAAUGGGAAGUACAACGAGUCGCGAAGUCGCGAGGCUAAGCUAAUCUCUUAAAGCUUCUCUCAGUUCGGAUUGUAGGCUGCAACUCGCCUACAUGAAGCCGGAAUCGCUAGUAAUCGCGGAUCAGCACGCCGCGGUGAAUACGUUCCCGGGCCUUGUACACACCGCCCGUCACACCACGAAAGUUUGUAACACCCGAAGUCGGUGAGGUAACCUUUUUGGAGCCAGCCGCCUAAGGUGGGAUAGAUGAUUGGGGUGAAGUCGUAACAAGGUAGCCGUAUCGGAAGGUGCGGCUGGAUCACCUCCUUUCUAAGGAA
rnacentral:rRNA from 1 species